GAGGGAAACCGAGUCUUAAUUGGGCGUUAAGUUGCAGGGUAUAGACCCGAAACCCGGUGAUCUAGCCAUGGGCAGGUUGAAGGUUGGGUAACACUAACUGGAGGACCGAACCGACUAAUGUUGAAAAAUUAGCGGAUGACCUGUGGCUGGGGGUGAAAGGCCAAUCAAACCGGGAGAUAGCUGGUUCUCCCCGAAAGCUAUUUAGGUAGCGCCUCGUGAAUUCAUCUCCGGGGGUAGAGCACUGUUUCGGCUAGGGGGCCAUCCCGGCUUACCAACCCGAUGCAAACUGCGAAUACCGGAGAAUGUUAUCACGGGAGACACACGGCGGGUGCUAACGUCCGUCGUGAAGAGGGAAACAACCCAGACCGCCAGCUAAGGUCCCAAAGUCAUGGUUAAGUGGGAAACGAUGUGGGAAGGCCCAGACAGCCAGGAUGUUGGCUUAGAAGCAGCCAUCAUUUAAAGAAAGCGUAAUAGCUCACUGGUCGAGUCGGCCUGCGCGGAAGAUGUAACGGGGCUAAACCAUGCACCGAAGCUGCGGCAGCGAACGUAUCACCCAAGACAACUUUGCGGAGUUGACGAUUGACGGAGCGAAGCGACGUCAAAGCGUUCAUUAAAGUCGAGUUGGCUUAGGGAUACGUUCGUUGGGUAGGGGAGCGUUCUGUAAGCCUGUGAAGGUGUGCUGUGAGGCAUGCUGGAGGUAUCAGAAGUGCGAAUGCUGACAUAAGUAACGAUAAAGCGGGUGAAAAGCCCGCUCGCCGGAAGACCAAGGGUUCCUGUCCAACGUUAAUCGGGGCAGGGUGAGUCGACCCCUAAGGCGAGGCCGAAAGGCGUAGUCGAUGGGAAACGGGUUAAUAUUCCCGUACUUGGUGUUACUGCGAAGGGGGGACGGAGAAGGCUAUGUUGGCCGGGCGACGGUUGUCCCGGUUUAAGCGUGUAGGCUGGUUUUCCAGGCAAAUCCGGAAAAUCAAGGCUGAGGCGUGACGACGAGGCACUACGGUGCUGAAGCAACAAAUGCCCUGCUUCCAGGAAAAGCCUCUAAGCAUCAGGUAACAUCAAAUCGUACCCCAAACCGACACAGGUGGUCAGGUAGAGAAUACCAAGGCGCUUGAGAGAACUCGGGUGAAGGAACUAGGCAAAAUGGUGCCGUAACUUCGGGAGAAGGCACGCUGACACGUAGGUGAAGUGAUUUACUCAUGGAGCUGAAGUCAGUCGAAGAUACCAGCUGGCUGCAACUGUUUAUUAAAAACACAGCACUGUGCAAACACGAAAGUGGACGUAUACGGUGUGACGCCUGCCCGGUGCCGGAAGGUUAAUUGAUGGGGUCAGCGCAAGCGAAGCUCCUGAUCGAAGCCCCGGUAAACGGCGGCCGUAACUAUAACGGUCCUAAGGUAGCGAAAUUCCUUGUCGGGUAAGUUCCGACCUGCACGAAUGGCGUAAUGAUGGCCAGGCUGUCUCCACCCGAGACUCAGUGAAAUUGAACUCGCUGUGAAGAUGCAGUGUACCCGCGGCAAGACGGAAAGACCCCGUGAACCUUUACUAUAGCUUGACACUGAACAUUGAGCCUUGAUGUGUAG
rnacentral:rRNA from 1 species